rfam:Virgibacillus massiliensis genome assembly, contig: 000001
UUCUUAUCAAGAGAGGUCAAGGGACUAGCCCGUAGACGCCUCAGCAACCUGUUUGUGAAGACAAGGUGCUACUUCUAGCAAGUUUAGUUAAACUUGAGAGAUAAGAA